UUGAAAGGGAAACGAUUGAAGUCAGUCGUGCUGGCGCGAAAUCAACCUUCUCGUCUUGAGAUCACAUGGCGUGGCGAGCCUCAAAACCGUCACGAAGCGUGAACUCUUGGUGAAAUGGAGCACUUUCGUGUCCGCUGGUUAACAUCAAUUUCGAACGCCAUAAAAAGGCUGGAGGGAUGUGGCUCCUUCGGGAGUGUUAUAACCUUUAGCGGAAUGUGGUGUUCGGGAUUGAGGAUUGCAACGAAUACCUUUAGGGCUGUUCCACCUGGCUUCUCUUUGGUAUCCUGGUGACGACAGCUUGCUGACGUCGUUAGGAUUGGCCUUGAACAGGCUAGAGUGUGAGCAAAUUCGUUAAGGAUGUUGACGUA
rnacentral:rRNA from 1 species